UGGGGAAUAUUGGACAAUGGGGGCAACCCUGAUCCAGCAAUUCUGUGUGCACGAAGAAGGUCUUCGGAUUGUAAAGUGCUUUCAGCAGGGAAGAAGAAAGUGACGGUACCUGCAGAAGAAGCGACGGCUAAAUACGUGCCAGCAGCCGCGGUAAUACGUAUGUCGCAAGCGUUAUCCGGAAUUAUUGGGCAUAAAGGGCAUCUAGGCGGCCCUGUAAGUCUAGGGUGAAAACCUGCGGCUCAACCGCAGGCCUGCCCCGGAAACUACAGGGCUAGAGUAUCGGAGAGGUGGACGGAACUGCACGAGUAGAGGUGAAAUUCGUAGAUAUGUGCAGGAAUGCCGAUGAUGAAGAUAGUUCACUGGACGGUAACUGACGCUGAAGUGCGAAAGCUAGGGGAGCAAACAGGAUUAGAUACCCUGGUAGUCCUAGCUGUAAACGAUGAUUACUGGGUGUGGGCAUGAAGAGUGUCCGUGCCGAAGCAAAUGCGAUAAGUAAUCCGCCUGGGGAGUACGGCCGCAAGGCUG
rnacentral:rRNA from 1 species